rnacentral:rRNA from 1 species
CCUACGGGAGGCAGCAGUAGGGAAUCUUCCACAAUGGGCGCAAGCCUGACCCAGCAACGCCGCGUGAAGGAAGAAGGCUUUCGGGUUGUAAACUUCUUUUAAGGGGGAAGAGCAGAAGACGGUACCCCUUGAAUAAGCCACGGCUAACUACGUGCCAGCAGCCGCGGUAAUACGUAGGUGGCAAGCGUUGUCCGGAUUUACUGGGUGUAAAGGGCGUGCAGCCGGAGAGACAAGUCAGAUGUGAAAUCCACGGGCUCAACCCGUGAACUGCAUUUGAAACUGUUUCCCUUGAGUGUCGGAGAGGUAAUCGGAAUUCCUUGUGUAGCGGUGAAAUGCGUAGAUAUAAGGAAGAACACCAGUGGCGAAGGCGGAUUACUGGACGAUAACUGACGGUGAGGCGCGAAAGCGUGGGGAGCAAACAGGAUUAGAUACCCUAGUAGUC